UACAGAGGGGGCAAGCGUUGUUCGGAAUUACUGGGCGUAAAGGGCGCGUAGGCGGCCUGUUAAGUCGAACGUGAAAUCCCUGGGCUCAACCCAGGAACUGCGUCCGAUACUGGCAGGCUUGAAUCCGGGAGAGGGAUGUGGAAUUCCAGGUGUAGCGGUGAAAUGCGUAGAUAUCUGGAGGAACACCGGUGGCGAAGGCGGCAUUCUGGACUGUAACUGACACUGAGGAACGAAAGCCAGGGGAGCAAACGGG
rnacentral:rRNA from 1 species